UAUUUUACAUAAAAGAUGUUUACAUAUAAUCCACAAGACAAAUAGCUGAAUUUAUUAAAAUAACCCCAUUCAUAAGUAUGUGAACCAUUGAUUCUUAAUACUGUGUGUGGUUACCGGGAUGAUCUACGACUGUUUUUUUGUUUUGUGAUGGUUGUUCAUGAGUCCCUUGUUUGUCCUGAGCAGUUAAACUGAACUCUAUUCUUCAGUUUUCCAGCAUUUUUUGCAUAUUUGAACCCUUUACAGCAGUGACUGAAUGAUUUUCAGAUCCAUUUUAUCAUAUUUUUUUGUCUUAUGGAUUAUAUGUAAAUAUCUUUUAUGUAAAAUAUCUUACUCAGGACAGUACUAAAUAAAAAACAUUUUUUAUUAUCUCCCUUAUUUUGUUAAAAUUAUUAACAUUUUCACAGAUUCUGCAAGUGGUUCACAUACUUUUUCUUGCCACUGUAUAUAUAUAUAUAUAUAUAUAUAUAUAUAUAUAUA